AUUAGUAGGGCGACUUGAGUGGUUAAUUUCCAGCCCCUUCUCCCGCUGCCCCCCCAAACCGGGAUCAGAAUCAGAAUCAGAAUCAUACGCUGCCAUAAUGGCCCGAAUCUUUGCGCCUGGCGUCAAUAUGGCAGGCGAAUUGACGCCGGCAUCAUCGCUGUCAUUUCCACCGUGCGCAUCGCGGUCCGGUGUGAUUGUGGACCGCGACGGGUCGCGAGUGGGAGUUGUAUCCAUUUCCAUUCUACCAACUCCAAUUCCAACUGCUACCGUAACCUAUUAGGAGGAGAGACAACGACGUGUAAACAAAUUGCGCGACUGGGAGUAGGCUCUGGAUUGUCCGACCCGGACUGGCGAACCGGCCUCCGCUGAAACCCGGAAUUUAAGGGGAAAAGUAUGGCAUUCUAAGGCUGAAGAAAAUGUAGUGGUCAAUGGUAUGCGUAUUGACGAGUUAACUAUAUCCGGAGAACGAAAGUCCAUGCAUCCACAUAUAUCGUCGUUGAGUGGAGGAAGUUGAAAUCUUCUCGAUCGAGCAUCCAACGCGAUGACGCGCCGGAAACGCGACGGAAACACGCUAGGGCUGGGUCUUAUCUUAUCGAUAAGGAAGCUUGGCAUUCAGCCAGAGGUAGGCUCACGUGAUGUCCACUAUUCUCGAUCAAAUGGAGAAGCCUCAUUCCAGCAGACGAGCAUCAAUUAGUCUAUCUACGCAUAACGGGGGGAAACAGGGAUAGAAGGUAACGACAAUGGAGUUCCCGAGCAUAGAGGAAAAGCCUUCUUGAAGAAAAUACAAGAAAUACAAAUUCGCAAGCAGACACCGCAUUGGCCCGUGUCUUCCGAACCAUUCGCCCUUUUCCCAUUUCAUUCCUCACCCUUCCAUUUUUAUACUUAUUUUCCUUCCGGGGUAAUAUUUUCCAAUUGGAAUUCCAUUCCGCUUUUAUCAGUCUCGCAUAUGGACACUCAGAAGUCCAUCUCACGUCCCCUAGUCGCGAAACCAAGCUCAAAAGCAACACACCACAGCAAAGUUUUGAGGCGAAAAGCAUGGGUCGCGGAGGAACAAAGCAAAACAUCAUCGAGUAAAAAAAAACUGCGAAAUGGAGAUGAGGAUUACUAAACCAAAGACAUCAGGAGCGAGCCGAAAAAGGCUAUCAACAAAGCUUGCAGGGGACGAGAGUAAAGGAAGAAGCGAGCAGAAAUACAGAGUAGAUAGAAGCAUACGUAAAUUGAGGCCGAGGAAAGAGGGAAAGUGAAGGAUAGGAAAGUAAGAAAUUGAAAAGGACCAGGCGCCGUAAAAGAAAGAAGGAAGAAAAGGAAAUGAGAAUGAGAAAAAGCAGGAAAAGUGGGAAGGGGGAUUGGGGGGAGGGAAAAAGAAAGGAAGCAUAUACCGGCAAAAAUCCUAUGUAUCCGCAUGAAAACUAUAAACCCGAUCGAAGAACAAAAAAUACGACGAUGAUGAAAAAAAAAAAAGAGGAUAGGAUAAGAAAAAAAUGAAAACAACAAGUAAACCUGGAACGCCAUGUACUAACGGGCUUCUUUUGUUUAGACAUGUGUUUGUCGAUGUAAGGAAGGUAGCGUAACAGAGGUGGAAAAACAGAACUUGGCGUACGAGGGACUGUGGCUCCAGGAACCGCCGCACACAAACCAGGUGAGUAGACUACCUGGGCCAUGAUAGAGCAGCCGUUUAAAUCUCGAUAUCAAUUUCAAAAUCCAACGCUGCGAUGUUUUCAUCAUCUGUAGGCCGAUGGCGGAUAACAGGGACGCCCCCUUUGCGCGCUACUUUCGUCGAAUCACCCACACCUUUCGUACUAGAAGGAGUCACGCUCCUUCCAUUCCGUGUAGGCGUGCUUAUUUUAUUGCCAUUAGGCGUGUUUGCGCCGGUGAUGGGAGUAACAGGGCGACUCAUAUCGCUCCCUCCUCCGUCCUCUGCGCCCUUCGGCAGAAGCCGGUUCCCAUGAACGUCAU
rnacentral:sRNA from 2 species